UUCAAUAAUAAAAAUAAUUACUAAAUGUAUCAAAUUAAAUAUAAAAUCCAUAUCUGUAAAUAAAACAUACUAAAAUCCAAUAAGUCAAAUAUAAAAUUUAAAACCCACAAUUUUAUGGAGAUGGAGGUGUUGGUAGACCUCGGACUAGUCUCAUCACCUCCUCCAUCAUAGAGCUUCUCAUACGUUCCAUAUUUGUCUCCAUUUGCAACUCCAUUUGCAAUUUCAAUUGAUCAAUACGAUCUAUCAUAGCUUGCCUCUCAUUCUCAAGCUGUUUCUCCAACUCUUUUAUUCGUUGUUGUAAGGCAGCAUUUGGACUAGAGCUUAAUGUAAACGCCCGACUCGAAGAUGCUCCAAUUAAAGGGUAAAAGGUAGAUGAUUCAGAUCUAAGACCAUACACUUUUCGUCUCUUCUCGCCGCCUUCGACAACAUUCAAGUAAAGUGGGUUCUAAUUGAUGUUGUUGGGUGUGAUUUGUGUUAGCUCCUCCCUCCUAGCUACUAUAGCAUCAUGUAUCUCCUUAGAUUUUUGGUCCACAAAAGUCUCCUUGUCAUUCUUUCGGUUGAGUGUGGACAAAUAACUCAGUCGGAGUUGGCUUUCGACCCAAUUCUUUUCCCUUAAAUUCUUCUCGAUAAAAAUCUUUUGUUUCUUGCGAGACAGCCUUCCAGUUUUGCACCACUUCUUUCACCCCCUUUUGCUGUCACAUUCAAGCAACACUCUAAAUCCAAAUGCAAUAGUUUCUGGCAUCUUUUUGCAAUAAUGGCCAAUGCUUCAUCAUCAAUGCCUGGUCCUUGCACUUUCAAAACCUCCAAUUUAGGGAGUUAAAAGUUUAAGUCAAGAUUCUCUAUCCCCAUGCAUCGGUUCAUCUCCAAAUGCCUAAUUUUCCUACAGUUUCUUAGAACUUCCUUUAUCCCUUCUUCUGUAAUAGUAGGACAGUAGCUAAUCUCAAGCACUUGUAAACUUGGACAACAUAACGCAGCCUUUUUGAGACAUUCAUCACUUAAACUGUUAUUCCCACUCAAUUUUAGAGAUUUCACUGUGAUUGAUCACCAAAUCCACCAUAAACUCUUCCACCCCCAAGUUUGUUCUCUCCAUUCUCACAUCUUCUAACAAGGGGCAGUUUCUUAUGAGGGCAAAGAAGGUCAAACUCGCGAGCUUAGAACAUAAGUCAAGAUUUAUAAAGAUCAAUUUUCCAAGGAAGUUGGACAGCUCAAUCAUGGAUUUGGCAGUAAGGAAAUUUGCCCCUUGAACAUCAAAGUGUUCAAGAAACUGAUACCUAUACAAUAAACAGGAAAUUCCAACAAAAGAGAAAUUAUAGCAUUGAGAGAUAGUCAGCUUCUUUAAUGGGAGACAUGCUUCCGCAACAUAACAGAGCAAUUCAUCAGAGAUAAAUGAAUUUGAGAGAUGAAGCUCAGAUAAAGUUUUAGCAUAAGUAAACGAUUCUAUAAAAAAAUGAAUCUAUAGAAGGGAUUCCAACACCUUCCAAGGAAAUUGAAUUCAAGUUAGCACUAUUGCGCAUAACCAUACUAAUACCAUUCUGAGUGAUAAAAUCAUAGUCACGAACCACAACUUCUGAUAAUAACACACAAUUCAACGAUAGUGCGUGAAGGGAUUUAUCAGUAAUGAAAUGGUUACCAGAAAAGUCGAUCUUUCAUAGCUUAUUGAGCUUCAAUGCCAAAUCAACAAUCCCUUCAUCCGUUACAACCCCCGAGAAAGAUUGCAAAUCCAAAGACCCAUUGGGAUUAAAACGAGAAUUAUACUGGGGAAAACUAAUAUCAAGAUCUUCAAGCAAUGGAAAACAAGUUCCAAUUACAAAUAGAUCACUAUCUUUAAAAUGACCUAGCUUUGAGCAAUUCAGUUUCCUCAGAUUGCUCAUUCUCAACCCCAAUUCCCUCAAACCAACUAAGGGAAAGUGACUUUGGUUUGAGAAACCAAGGGUUUCGAGGUCCAACCCAGAUUUGGAGAUUAGAUAGAGAAAGGAAUUAAGGUCACCCUCGAAUUCUCGAAUUUCGAUUGCUUUCAGAUUUGGGAAUCUUUCGAGAAGACGGGGAAGCAAAGGAACAACCUGGGAGGAGAUUGUUAGGGUACGGCGGAGCUGAUCGGUGAUAGAGAGGAACAAAGUGGAGACUAGUGAGAGGGAUUCAAAGUGACGAUGGUGGUCGAGGGAAGUGAAAACUAAUUCCCAGCAUUCCUAAGGCAAAUCCAUGGAUUUCUCAGUCAUCUUGUCGGGUGGAUUGAGAGAUGGGAUGGGGAGGAGGCUUAGAGAGAAGAGAAUAGAUGGGAUUCUGAGAUAGGAGCGGGCAAGGGCACGUUGAUGUGUGCUUGUCUGUAGGCUCUACAAGCACAUGGCAACGGUUUU
rnacentral:misc_RNA from 1 species